UACGUAGGGGGCGAGCGUUGUCCGAAGUUACUGGGCGUAAAGCGCGCGUAGGCGGGUAUUUAAGGCUGGGGGGAAAGGAUCAGCGCUCAACGGGAACAGUGCCUUGGAUACUGGAUGACUUGAGUCCGGGAGGGGGAAGGGGAAUUCCUGGUGGAGCGGUGAAAUGCGUAGAUAUCAGGAGGAACACCGGUGGCGAAGGCGCCUUCCUGGCCUAAGACUGACGCUGAGGUGCGAAAGCGUGGGGAGCAAACGGGAUUAGAUACCCCGGUAGUCCACGCCGUAAACGAUGAGUGCUAGGUGUCGGGGGUAUCGACCCCCCCGGUGCCGUCGCUAACGCAUUAAGCACUCCGCCUGGGGAGUACGGCCGCAAGGUUG
rnacentral:rRNA from 1 species